GGGGCUUCGCCCCGAACUCCAUUGAUGACUAAUGAGCUGUAGAUGUCAGGAAAAUGCGUUUCUGCAGUGAAGAAUGCAAGAAAACGCUUUUGUCCUUUCGGGCUUCGCCCCGAACUCCAUUGAUGAAUAAUGAGCUGUAGAUGUCAGGAAAAUGCGUUUCUGCAGUGAAGAAUGCUAGAAAACGCUUUUAGCGUCGGGGCUUCGCCCCGAACUUCAUUGAUGAAUAAUAAACUGUAGAUGUCAGGAGAAUGCGUUUCUGUAGUGAAGAAUAGAAGAAAAUGCUUUUGUCGUCGGGGCUUCGCCCCGAACUUCAUUAAUGAAUGAUGAGCUGUAGAUGUCAGGAGAAUGCGUUUCUGCAGUGAAGAAUGCAAGAAAACGCUUUUGGCGUCGGGGCUUCGCCCCGAACUCCAUUGAUGAAUAAUAAGCUUUAGAUGUCAGGAGAAUGCGUUUCUGCAGUGUAGAAUACAAGAAAAUGGUUUUGUCGUCGGGGCUUUGCCCCAAACCCCACUAGGGAACCUUAUAGCGUUGCCCCACUUUUUCGUCGAAGGUUGAGAAAUGCUGCUUUUUAAAAUUCUCAUAUAUAUAUAUACACACAAAUAUAUAUAUAUGUGUGUGUGUGUGUGUGUGUGUGUGUGUGUGUGUAUGUGUGUUCUGUACACACGUUUAUGCAUAGGGUUAGGGUUUACUGGGCGUUAGGGUUAGGGUUUGGAAAAAAAUCGCCCCCCCCACUCCAAAGUUCUGGAUCCGCUAGUGUGUCCAACGGCUCAGCAAUUUAAAUAUCUAUGUCCAGCUUAAUUCAACACUUACGUUCAGCAACUUGAGUGAAUAAUGUCCAACCUGGUUCAACGCUAGAACGGAAAUCGAGACAGAUUAACGGACAAGAGACCCACUGCAGUAUUGCUUGGAUUGGACGUAUUUUAGAUCUAGCCAGGUUGGACUGUGCCCUUCUCUUGUUAGAAAUAGGUGUGUUGUUCAACGAGACUGUUUGACUUGAAUCUGUUGCGUUCUGGUUUUAUUUUUGUGUAUCGUCAUAUAGAUCUAGUUAAUAUCAAGUACUAGAGCUCGCAGUAAACUAACAACCAGCAACAUUCUCAUCGGCCUAUUCUGUUGAGUUUAUAGACAGCUUGGAGUUUUUGGAUAAAAAAGGGCGAUUCAUUUCGAUUCCUAUUCCAUCACCCUAAUUAGGCAUGUUCUACGUUGGCGUUUAUUGAAAAAUACGAGAAAUAGAUUUAGUGCCUUUUAUUUUAUCAGUAGCUCUCUUUCGGUUAACGUCAUAAGUAUUAACAAAUAGAAUCGACAAUCUACUGAACUUUGACAGGAAAACAUUAAUAUGAAUUUUGUGAUAUAAUAAGUCAUCAGAGAUUUUGAACAAUGAAACAUUUGUGUUGAGAUAGUGUAGAGGUCAACACACAAUGUCUAAACAUUUGUGUUGAGAUAGUGUAGAGGUCAACACACAAUGUCUAAACAUUUGUGUUGAGAUAGUGUAGAGGUCAACACACAAUGUCUAACCAUUUAUGUUGAGAUAGUGUAGAGGUCAACACACAAUGUCUAAACAUUUAUAGGGAGACAGAUACAUCAUAUUUACCCUUUUUUUUUUGGACAAAAGACCAACACAGAAAAAGAUUGUAAAACAAUGCCCAAACGUAACUCUUUUAAACAUCCUCCUAAUCAACUACAAAACCUUGUCAAUUUGUGGUGUCAAACCCAAAUGUUGGUUCAACUAAAUAUGUGAAGCCAAACCAAAGUUUGAUUGGAGCUACGUGUCUUAAUGUGCUUGUUUUGUUGGCUUCAAACUUUGGCGUUGAAGUUAUCAAAUGACUUGUGUAAGGAUUCCUAGAAAACGUUGCACACGUGACCUAAUGAAUGGAGAAGAGUGUGCCAUAUGUUUUUAGUCAUCAAUAUAUUUUUUGUGUGCUCUCCUUCCUUCUAUCUGUGGGUGGGGAAAACAGAGUCCUAAUAGGAUGUGCCAUACAGUGUGAACACAAUGAAAUAAUUCUGAUUUCUGAAGUGUGAACACAAUGAAAUAAUUCUGAUUUCUGUUUCUUUUUAUUUCAGUCGACCUGUACUCUUUGUUUAUUGAUUCUAUUUCAGUCUACAUUUACUCUCUUUGUUUAUUGAUUCUAUUUCAGUCUACAUUUACUCUCUUUGUUUAUUGAUUCUAUUUCAGUCUACCUGUAUGCCUACACUCUUUGUUUAUUGAUUCUAUUUCAUGCAUAGACCAACUAGUGCUUACCCGAUUUAAUCCAUGCCAACAUUAUAAAAAGGACAUUAUUUUGUAACAAUAAAUAGAUCUAAAUGCUAAGGAUCAAUAAGAAAGAAGGUCUAAUCAUUUUAUUAAUGAGUUUAACUAUUUUAUAUACAUAGGCUUAAUUUUUUUUCAAACAUAUGUAUUAAUAUGGAGCUUAAAUAUUAUAAGAUUACAAAGAAAGUAUAUUUAAAUACAACUUCAGAGGCGACCCCCCCCCCCCGAUUCCCCAUUGUACAACUAUAGGUCAUCUGCUUGGUAAGUAAUGCAGGUAACAAGACAGGUUUGACUAUUUUCAGCACGAAUAUCAGAAGCUAUAAAGUACCAUCUAUCAACAAAGUCUUACCUCUGUACGUCAUGCUAUCUUACUAGAUUUUUCUAAGGCUUUUGACAAAGUUCACCACCAUAGUUUGCUUAAAAAAUUAAAAUAUUUCGGCAUUAAUGGUCCACUGCAUCAGUGGAUUAAAGACUUUCUGAUAGGGAGAGAACAAACUGUAAUAAUAAAUGGCUCUAAAUCAACACCGAUAACAGUAAACUCAGGUGUACCUCAAGGAACAGUCUUGGGUCCACUACUAUUUUUAAUUUACAUAAAUGAUUUACCAAAUUGCAUUACUUCAGGAACAAAAGUCAGAUUAUUUGCAGACGAUUGCAUAAUAUAUAGAACAAUAAAAACAACACAAGACACAGAUAUUUUACAAAGAGAAUUAGAUGAAUUACAGAAAUGGGAAUCAAAUUGGAGCAUGUCUUUCCACCCAGAAAAAUGUCAGUUCUUAAGAGUAACAAAAAAACUAAAACAAAUUAAUUCCACUUAUCUUAUUCAUGGCAAACCAGUAACACAGACUAAAAACGCAAAAUACCUAGGUGUUAUAAUAAAUGAAAAACUGUCAUGGAAUCCACAUAUUGAUGAAACUACAAAAAAAUCAGACAAAGCAUUAGGAUUUAUUAAAAGAAAUUUCUAUAAAUCAAAUAAGAACAUAAAACUAAAAUGUUAUUUAACCUUGGUUAGGCCAAUAAUAGAAUAUGCAUCCUCUGUUUGGGACCCCUCAACUCAAGAAAACAUUAAGAAACUAGAACAGACACAAAAUAGAGCAGUGCGAUUCAUAACAAACGAAUAUUCACAUUUGACUAGAGUAACACCUUUAGUAAAAUCACUAAAUUUAGAAAGCCUUCAGGACAGAAGGCUCAAAAGUAAAGUAGCAAUAAUACAUAAAACACUGAACCAUAAUCUUCAAAUACAAAAACAAAAUUUAAUAAAAUACUCUGAAAGACGCAAAGAUAAAGGCACAUUCCUCGUCCCAUAUGCUAGGACAAAUUUGUACAAAUACUCCUUCUUCCCUAGUGCUAUUAGAGCAUGGAAUGGGUUGCCUGAGCUAGCCAGGAAAACUAGUGACUUGGCAGAAUUUAAGUCAUUGGUUAAUAUGCAUGACUAAAUGCAUGACGCGUAGGACGUAAUCAUCUUCUUUUUUGAAGUAACGUCUGUAUUAUAUAAGAUAAGAUAAGAUUUAUGUAUGCGAGUGAAAGUGUUGGCGACGUGAACGUAUGGUCGGCUGACGUGUUGUUACUCGUAUUGAAUACCUUGCAUCCCAAAUAUGUAAAGUGUUCUACCAAGUAGGGGAGUGUUCAUACUUCGUGUAACCACACCCGUUAGGUCAGACUCACACUUCAUGUAACCACACCCGUUAGGUCAGACUCACACUUCGUGUAACCACAUCCGUUAGGUCAGACUCACACUUCAUGUAACCACACCCGUUAGGUCAGACUCACACUUCGUGUAACCACAUCCGUUAGGUCAGACUCACACUUCAUGUAACCACAUCCGUUAGGUCAGACUCACACUUCAUGUAACCACACCCGUUAGGUCAGACUCACACUUCGUGUAACCACAGCCGUUAGGUCAGACUCACACUUCAUGUAACCACAGCCGUUAGGUCAGACUCACCCUUCAUGUAACCACAUCCGUUAGGUCAGACUCACACUUCAUGUAACCACAGCCGUUAGGUCAGACUCACACUUCAUGUAACCACAGCCGUUAGGUCAGACUCACCCUUCAUGUAACCACAUCCGUUAGGUCAGACUCACACUUCAUGUAACCACAUCCAUUAGGUCAGACUCACACUUCAUGUAAAUCACAUCCGUUAGGUCCGUCCGUUCCAUUUAGAUACAAAUAACUAGAAAUUAUAUGAAAGAUCCGAUAUCAUGCAAAGUUAGGCUGUAACUGUAUUAUGCCGAUUUCUUUUCUGAAAGCAAAUCUUUCAAUUUUGUAAAUAAAAUAGGCAAGCAGUUUUUCGGGCACGACAUGGCCUAAAUUGUGCCGAUGUGCUAAAACUCAAAAUACUAAUACAAAUGCAAGCAGUUUUUUCAUACAAACGCAAAACCACGUUUUAUAUAAAAUAUUUCAGGGUAGGUACGUUACGUAGAGUUAAUAAUUGCGGACAUGUGUCUUCAUUGAUAACUCUAGCUUCAUUGAUGGAUUCUCGAUCGGUAACAAAAAAAAAGCAUCUUAAAUUACAAAGACAGUUUGUGUGGAAACACAAACUCCAAAUCGGCCCCCGAAGUGCUCUACCUAGUCUUCACCAGGAUUCGAACACGGGGCUUCCGGUUCCAAGUGCUUAACCCCUCAGCCACAGCAUUUCCAUAUAUUCAUUUAGCUUACACUUAUAUUUUUUAAAAAUAAUAAUUAUCAACCUUAUCCAUACAUUCAAAAUUAAUAACAUGUUACAAAAUUAGAUGAAUUGGCAAAUCGAAAAAAAAUAUUCUUGACCUACUUUUGGUAGUGAGCUAGCUAGAAAUGACAGGACAGACUUGGAUAAGACUUUCCCCUCGCAAAAUAAAAUAAAUUAAUAUCUCUAUUGCCAUUUGUCAUACAAACUAGUUCUCGAUCUAGCUAGAACUAGACCUGGUUCUUGAAUAUAGAUCUAGAAUUAGAUAUAGAACUAGAUCUAGAACUAGAAUCUUGCUAUAGAACUAGAUCUAGAACUAGAAUCUGUUAUUGUUAGAUUUUUUUUUUUAAAUUUAAUUCACAUUCCCCAUUCACACAAUAUGAGCUCAUUUCGUCUUCACCUCUCCAAGCCUACCAAUUGGAUCUCACCCAAUUCGGACAACAACAAAAAAAAAGAAAGGUCUAGCAUCAAAAGAUCUGUCGAUGUUGGGAAAGUGGGGAAAGAAUGGUAAACCUUAGGGCUGCUCUUUUUCACGUGCUGUUCUCUGACAUUUCCUAACCCAGGGGGUGAAGGUGGGCUCAAAUAAGUUUGAACACAGUAUAUGUCAUCUUAAGACCGUCUUGUGGAAUAGUGUGUAUGUAUUUUAUCUGUAUGUUUAUAUGACUUUUGUGUUUACAUACGAAUUUUAUAAAAGAAGGGAAACAUGCAAUUUAAGACAUUGCAAUGAAAAUAAUAAGCAGAGUUUGUCAUUUUCAUUAUUUCCUGUAAUGCUCACAUUACCCCCCUUCCCUUUAUGAUUUGGACAAAUUAUUUCCUUCACUUAGAAGAUUUGUGAAGAAGAUGGUACAUUAGAUCGUCUAACACUCAACAUGAAGUAUCUUAAUAUGUGAUACAUUUAGUAAACAAAACAACUUUUGGUAGAUUCAGACACAAGUAUUGCAAAGCACUAAUACCAUACCUUGUUUCAGAUGUUGAUGACGACUCUGGAAAAUGUGACCUUUAAAUAACGAUUCACUGGGUCAGAUUAUGUGUGUGUGAGAGAGAGAGAGAGAAGUAGACAAGGGUGGGUUUGUGGAUUCAAAAAUGUCUGAUUCAUCUACCAUACAAGUAAAACCAGAUGGGGAUAGAAAGUAGCACAUACAGUCCCUGAGUUUAGGCGUGAAGUUGGUAGCUUUGAAUAUACAUACAGUCCCUGAGUUUAAGCGUGCAGUUGGUAGCUUUGAAUGUACAUACAGUCCCUGAGUUUAAGCGUGCAGUUGGUAGCUUUGAAUAUACAUACAGUCCCUGAGUUUAAGCGUGCAGUUGGUAGCUUUGAAUGUACAUACAGUCCCGGAGUUUAAGCGUGCAGUUGGUAGCUUUGAAUGUACAUACAGUCCCUGAGUUUAGGCGUGCAGUUGGUAGCUUUGAAUGUACAUACAGUUCCUGAGUUUAGGCGUGCAGUUGGUAGCUUUGAAUGUACAUACAGUUCCUGAGUUUAGGUGUGCAGUUGGUAGCUUUGAAUGUUUAGUGUAGGCUGGGUGUUUCCUCAGGCUUUUUUAAAAUAUAUAAAUAUAUAGUCCCCGCAUUUUAAGGGAGUUUUCGGUCUUGGCAAUUUUCUCCAAUACUGACAUAAAAGGAAACAUCUAGGUCUGAAGACUUUAACCGGAAUAUCCAUGGGACAAGGUGGGGUUGGCCAAUGGUCCAUUCUCCGCCAUCCAUAGAGCUCUCCAAAUGGAACUUUUCUGCAGUAGAAAGCUUAAAGUGGACUGUGCCCUGGGUAUGCUCUGUGGAAUCGUCACAUCCUGGAUCCAGGCCCCUUCACGAUAUCACAUUCACCAGAUUUAGAAAAAAAACACUUCAUUAUGGGUUUAUGUCUAGUAUUAGAAUGUAGUGAGACAAGGACCUCCGUCUGGUGUAGUGCAAUCCAGACCUCUGUCAAAAAGCACCUAGAGGGGGGGGGAAGGUCCACUAUUAUUCACUUAGUGAAAUGCAAGUGGAAAGGCAGUGGAGUUAUUUAUUUCUCUUGGUCAUUUCCAAGCCCCGAUACCCACACGGGGGAGUACGCCACCCCUUUGAAACCGUAAACCAUAUCCUCUUUGAAUGCCCCUCCCUAAUCCACCUUAGGCAGACCCUACUUCCACUACAGCCCAACAUAACCAACACCCUUUACGGCAGUGCUGAACAGCUGAAGAAAACAGCACACUUUUUUUCCUUGGCACAGUCUGCAAAAGAGCUCACAGCUCAGCAGCAAUAAAGCUGGCCAGAAGAAGAAGAAGUAGCUUUGAAUUUACAUACAGUUCCUGAGUUUAGGUGUGCAGUUGGUAGCUUUGAAUGUACAUACAGUUCCUGAGUUUAGGCGUGCAGUUGGUAGCUUUGAAUGUACAUACAGUUCCUGUGUUUAGGUGUGCAGUUGGUAGCUUUGAAUGUACAUACAGUUCCUGAGUUUAGGUUUGCAGUUGGUAGCUUUGAAUGUACAUACAGUCCCUGAGUUUAGGCGUGCAGUUGGUAGCUUUGAAAGUACAUACAGUUUCUGAGUUUAGGCGUGCAGUUGGUAGCUUUGAAUGUACAUACAGUCCCUGAGUUUAGGCGUGCAGUUGGUAACUUUAAAUGUACAUACAGUUCCUGAGUUUAGGUGUGCAGUUGGUAGCUUUUAAUGAACAUACAGUUCCUGAGUUUAGGUGUGCAGUUGGUAGCUUUAAAUGUACAUACAGUCCCUGAGUUUAGGCGUGCAUUUGGUAGCUUUGAAUGUACAUACAGUUCCUGAGUUUAGGCGUGCAGUUGGUAGCUUUGAAGGUACAUACAGUUCCUGAGUUUAGGCGUGCAGUUGGUAGCUUUGAAUGCUGGAAAAUUACAAUACGUAGAACCUGAAAACCUUUUUCUUGGAAAAUAGUUUCGAUAGUAAAGUGAAAUCAUCUAAAAGAUUGAAUUGUCUUGAAAGCAAUGAAAGAAUUGUAUUGAUUAAAUGAGCAGAGUACAAAACUGAACUGUCAGAUAAGCUAGAUACAAAACUGAACUAUCAGAUAACCUAGAUACAAAACUGAACUAUCAGAUAAGCUAGAUACAAAACUGAACUGUCAGAUAAGCUAGAUACAAAACUGAACUAUCAGAUAAGCUAGAUACAAAACUGAACUGUC